rnacentral:SRP_RNA from 1 species
CGUUGGUUCCCCCGCAAUGAAACUUUGUGAACCCCGCCAGGCCCGGAAGGGAGCAACGGCAGCAAAGAAUUCAUGUGCCGGGGUGUAGCUGGCGGGA